GUUUGAGUAAAAUUUGGAUAAAUACAGCCUAAAUGACGUUGCUUUAUUCUUAGAUAACUUGAGAGAAACCAAUAAUGAAGGGGUUAAAAUGACUUGUGGAAUUAGGCAGAGAAAGAAGUGAAGAUUUGACACCCCUCGUCCCCCUCCUCCUUUUUCUAGGACUCAAUGUAAAAGAGUGAUACAGACAGCUGAGCCACUCACAAAUUUUUUGUACUAGAAACUGCACAGUUAAUCAAAGGCAGAAUAUAACUCCUAAAGUUAUUUGUUUUUGGUGCAGUAAACAACAUUAUUUAAGGUCUUGCAGAUAUUUUAUCCGAUAUAUCAAAUCAAAAGCAAAUAAGAAAUUAAAUUUGUUGAUUGAAAAUUUUGACAGAGAAAAUACAUGUGGAGAUAAAUCAAUUAAAGCCUUUCCUUGUAAACUGAUAAUCAGACAAAUAAGAGCAAUUUUAGCUAAAUCGAAAUUAGGAGACAGACAAGCAAUGCAGUGUAACACAGAAAGUUAUAAGAAUCAGAUAACUUCAAGAGAUAUGAUCAGUUUAGGGAAUGAGCAUGGAUAUGUGUGCCAACAGAUGUACACAGGCUGAUUCCAGAAUUAAGAACAGCACACAAAAAAAGAGAUCUAUGUUAGUUUGUUGUUUUAAUGAAUUGUUAGUCUGAACUGUUUUUUCAUUGUUUUUAUGUGUGUUGUAAGAAAGUAUUAGGUUAAUUAAUUAAAGUAAAAAUUUACAUCAAGUUUGCAAAUAUGGCAGAAUGAAAUACACUAAUGAAGCAGUUAGGAACAUGCAAUGUAUGUUAUAUUGGGUGUAUGCGAUUAUACAGUAACUCAUUUUACAGAAGGAAAAAAAAAAAACAAUGAAUAUUCCUUGUUACUUCUGAGGUUAAUUUACAGUCUUUGAUUUAAUUCAUGAGAGUGAGAUUUUAAUAUCAUGACUGAUAAUGGAUUACUAUAUUUUGCAAAUCCUGGACAUACAUAUGUUUUGACUACAUAGAAGACAAAAGUUUUGAUAGAAUAAAACCUAGAUUUACAAAUACAUUUGAUGUAGGAAACAAUAGAUGUUUUUUUGUAGUUUGUUUCAUGUGACAAAAAUGGUGCCAGUGACAAGAUGGCUGCUAUUGCUAAACUAUAGUGGAAAACAAUAUUUUGUUGUAACAUCUGACAUGUGAUUAGGUUAUACCUCCAGAUUAUUAAACAGUUUAAAAGGGGGUAUGAUUAAUAAAAAGUUUGGAAAUUUAAAAUGUUCAGAAAGAUUUUAAUAUAAAGGAAAUUUAAAGAUUAUACAUCACAUGGCAUAAAUGUAAUGACCACUAGAUGGUAGAUCUCAUGAGAAGAAAUGAGAAUGUUGUGUAGUCAAUAAAAUUCAAUGUUAAACAUUGUAAGCCAUUGUAUUGAUGCUGCACAUGUUUUUUUGUUUUAAUGUAGGUAAAGCGUGACAGAUCCUUGUGGCAAAAAUCAGGAAAGCAUUCCUUCAGACAACUGGACAUCGACUGUUGGAAAGAGACUUUUCAUCUGAUCUGCAAACUGUGAUGGAAGAUUCUACGGAGUUCAUUCGAUACAGAAGAUUAACAGAUUUACAAAGAAAUAAAAGAUUGACACUAACAUUCUUAUUAAUUCCUAAAUAUUAAUGGAAAAGAAAACAGACAAUGAAAAGUUAUAUAACAGUUUAUGAGUGUAUUAAAGGACCACUCUAGGCACCCAGACCACUUCAGCUUAAUGAAGUGGUCUGGGUGUCAGGUCCAGCUAGGGUUAACCCUUUUUUAAAUAAACAUAGCAGUUUCAGAGAAACUGCUAUGUUUAUAAAUGGGUUAAUCCAGCCUCCAAAUCCUCUAGUGGCUGUCACAUUGACAGCCGCUAGAGGCGUUUGCGUGCUUCUCACUGUGAAAAUCACGGUGAGAAGACGCCAGCGUCCAUAGGAAAGCAUUGUGAAUGCUUUCCUAUGAGACCGGCUGAAUGCGCGCACAGCUGCGGCCGCGCGUGCGCAUUCAGCCGAAGGGGAGGAGAGAAGGAGGAGAGCUCCCGACCCGGCGCUGGAAAAAAGGUAAGUUUAACCCCUUUCCUUGCCAUCCAGCCCGGCGGGAGGGGGUGCCUGAGGGUGGGGGCACCCUCAGGGCACUAUAGUGCCAGGAAAACUAGUAUGUUUUCCUGGCACUAUAGUGGUCCUUUAAUAUCAAAAGAGAGUACUUCUAAAUGUGUAACACAUACAGUAAAAUUAUGAAGAGAACUAUUACAUUAUUACCUAUACAUAGGAUGAGAAGUAUCUGAAGUAGAUAAAAUAUUAAGUUGAUAAAAUAAGGAUCAUGUAUACUUAAUUCUACAAAGAUUGAGUUCAAUAGUAUUUCAUAGAUUCAUUAGAAUAAGUAAUUUGUUUAUAUCGAGGUGGAGUAAAACAAACAAUGGUAACAAAAGGAAGAAAACUAAGGAAGGAUAAUUUAUAUUGAUUAAUAUUAAGUAAUUGUAUACAUUAAGAAUGCCUUAGAUAUAAGAGUUCAGAGAUCCAAGAGGAAUUGAAUUGAAGGAGUAUAGUACACAAUUUUAUUUGACCUAAGUCUAUAAAAGGUAUGGACUAGGGAGAAUAGGUUUCUGGAUAUGAUGGUAUCCAAUGAAUUGAAUACGUUGUUAAGUUGUUUUAUGAUUUCCCUGAGUUUGUUAGACACAGACUAGGAAUAAGAGUUUCUGGGCAGUAUGACCCCAAGUUUUGUUUAUUUUAUUUUAGUCAGUUGAAGUGUACUAAGGAAUACGGAUUCGUCAGAACAUUAGGACAAUCCUGCUUUUAAGAUGUAUUACAUUAAUAAGCCAUCACAAUGCUAAUGAAGAGAGUGAUGCUAAUGAAUUUAAAGUAUUCUUUCCAAGUUCUUUUAAAGUAAACCAUUCUCAGAUUGAAUGAAAAGUUUGUUACUACAAGGUGGAAUUUUAGCCCAAAUCAUAAUUAUGUAAACAAAAACAAAUCUAUGAUAGAAAGAUUUCUGGGUGGAGAAUUUCUAGGACAAUAAGUAUUAUCAACACCAUGAACAUUAUUUGAAGAAUCAUUGUAGAACUGCAUGGUUGAUAACACAUCCUUUGAAUGAGUCUUAUAAGUAGUGUUGAUAUAUUUCAGGUAGUUAGAGCCUACUGAAUAUACAAAUUAAAUACUAUGAUUGUAAAAUACUGAUACAAUCAUCACUAGGUGGUAUUAAUGGUAUAGGAAGGUAAUUCAUGAAUACAAAUGACCUAAAGAUUUUAAGGUUGCUAGAAACCAUAUGAUUCAUGGAAAUAUAAUUGGACAGGAUAUUAUAGUAAUACAUGUAUUAGUACUUAAGUAAUAUCAGGUAUUGAGAAUUAAAAUACUGUGUUAUAUGUGUCUGUAGGAAUAUGAUAGUGAAACACAGUCAUUAUUAUUUAGAAAGUUGUCAUCUUGAUUUUGUUAUCUACAAAGAUAUGACUGUACCAGAGCAGGUAGAUCUUUCUGAUUGCUUUAUUGUUUAUUGGAUCAACAUUUGUAAAUAUUUUAUGCAUUUAUGAUUGUUAUAUGUAUAUAUUAUGUUCAAGUAGUUAAGAUGUAACAUGGAUAUAGCUGAAACAGAGGGAGUUUGAAGUAAAGUAAGCAGUAUGAGGGAUAGAAACUUGACCUUCUAAGAACUAAUAGAAAGUUGUGACUACAUCUUGUUCUAUGCUCAUUGACUGUGAUACAAGUGAUGUAUGAAUGGACAGGUUAGUGACAUUGUGUUAUGGUUUUAAAACAAACCACAAACAGAGGGAAUGUAGAAUAUUGCAUAUUCUAUGUUUCUAUUGAUUAUAUAUGGAUGUGUGGAUUGACAUAAGUAACAGAUGGUAUAAGUCACAAGGCUUUCUUUGUCCGAGAGCUCUGGAAUGUGGAUGUGGGGGUUUUGUCCUUAUAUGGCUAGAGUUAAAUGCUGACGUUAGUAUUAGCACAUCUUUAUAGUAACAGAGGGACACGAGGUCUCUCUCGAUCUUGGCUCUGGGCUCUCUCUGGCUCUCUCUCGAUGUAAAGAUGUAAGAAUGUAAAGAAGUCCAGCAAUUACCAUCUGCUGUUGAAACAUUCAUUAUCCUGUAACAUCCUUUGUUGUUUUAUUAUGUAUCUGUAACUAAGAAUAAACCUGAAGAAACCGUAAGUCAGAUUGCGUAUUAGUACUUUUCAAUAAUAUAGACAUAUAUUAUUGUGGCGAGCAUUUGGC
rnacentral:lncRNA from 1 species